ensembl:lncRNA
UCACGCAGAAUCUUUAAUUUGUUUUACAUCAUGCAAAAAGCUCACACAGUCCUGUUGCUGGGACACUUCAACAUCUUCAUCAGAGGCAGAAGCAUCACUGCACACUUGGAGUGAACAGCAGUCAGUUUGAAACAAGAGAUUAAGGAUAAUCAGAAACACUGCAGACAAGACCAACAUUCUAUGCAGCAGACAUGUCUGUUAACUCAUCAUCAACGUCCAACUAUCUCUACGCUUGUGCCAGUGUUGUUAGCAUGUACAUGUACUAUACCAUCACUGCAUUGAGAACCAUCCUCCUCCUCCCUCUCUCCACCUUCAUCCUCUACCUGGGUCAUCAAAGAUGGAGGCAGCAUCGUUCCUCUAAAGCAGUGACUCACUCUGACAUCUUCACCUACAAUGUUGCUGCCAUGGAUCUCAUCUGGAUCUUGGGAAGUUUCUGCAUCUUUGGUGGUCAAUACACUAAUCACUCAGCAAUGCUACUAGUUGGACUGUAUCUGUGUUCUGUUCCUUACUGUGGAGAGCUUUUUUUUCACAUGCUGACCUGUGUGGAGCGCUACCUGGCUGUGGUUCAUCCCAUCAUCUAUCGGGGGCUGAGAAAUGCUCGUGGGGUCAGAAUCAGAAACAUCUGUAUUGGAUGUGUUUGGCUGCUGUGUUUGGGAAUCUCAGGUGUUGCUAUACCUUUUCCUGACUUUACCGUCAUCCCAUCUUUGUGUCUUUUGGUUUUCUCCAUCAUAGUUAUUUCUUUCUGCAGCCUGUCGGUUCUCUGUGUUCUGAUUCGUCCAGGUCCAGGGGAAGGAGUCGGGGAAAAGCAGCAAGUUGACCAAUCAAAGCAGAGAGCUUUCUACACCGUCACAGUUAUAUCAGUAACUGUGUGGUUGUGGUUUUUCAGCCUCAUUGUUUCCCACGCUGUGAACAUGUCACCUGAACUGAACAUAAGUGUUCGCUGUGUGGUGGCAAUGAGUGCUGGUUUAUUAAACCUGCCCAGUAUUUUAGUGUCUCCUCUGCUGUAUCUGCACAGGGCAGGAAAACUGUCAUGUUGCUGUUAAAACAAUGAGUGAAGAUACAGAUUGGAUUUGAGUUAAUCAGACCUGGGUAGUUCUAGUGACUGGAUGAAAGAUGAGAAACUCUGAUAUAAGAGGAGUUGUUGGUUUAGAGCGUCAGUGUAACAAGGAUUAAGUUAGGAUAUUCUGUGUAGUUAGUGUAGUGUUUUCUUAGCUGCUCAGAUAGUUGGAUAGGUGCUGUUGCUUUUGGGUGUUAGUUGGUGAUCACAAGAUUGAUGGUUAAGCAUGGGCAAUACAAGCCUAUUAAAGACAUACUUUUAAUAGUCUUGCGAUAACUCACAAUACACGUUUUGAUUGGUCUUUUUGCAUUGCCAAAAUCCAGAACUUUCUCACUCACACUGUACAGAUCAUCCGAUUGGCCAUGUUAGUUCACCCUUGACAGUCGAGAGAAAGAGAACAAAAAGGGCAAGAGAACUGAGUCAAAAUAGAAUUCAGACCCAGAGAUUUACCAACACAAAUAUAUUUGAGAAAUCUAAAGUGUUGCCCAAUAAAUCUGAACUCAUACUUUAAUACUCUGCAGAGAUCUGACACCAGAAACUGUAAAUUAAAAGGAAAGGUGGAUGGAUAGUAGUUUAAUAUGUAAUCAUAUGCUUGGUUUGGGUUCAGCAGCCUUUGAAAGUUUUUACUGUCUGGACAACAUCUAGCUUUGGACAGUUCCAGAUGGAACACAAAAAGAUAACAUGGUGAUAUUCUCAAUAUAAAUAUGAAAACAUUAAAUCAUAUUUU